UACGUAGGGCGCAAGCGUUGUCCGGAAUUAUUGGGCGUAAAGAGCUCGUAGGCGGUUUGUCGCGUCUGCUGUGAAAACUGGAGGCUCAACCUCCAGCCUGCAGUGGGUACGGGCAAACUAGAGUGCGGUAGGGGAGAUUGGAAUUCCUGGUGUAGCGGUGGAAUGCGCAGAUAUCAGGAGGAACACCGAUGGCGAAGGCAGAUCUCUGGGCCGUAACUGACGCUGAGGAGCGAAAGCAUGGGGAGCGAACAGG
rnacentral:rRNA from 1 species